ACCUAAUGUAACGUUUUAUUUCUUAUUUUUAUUAUAAUUUAAUUUAUCUAUAAAUUCUAUACUUAAUAUUCACUUUUGAGUAUUGUCUCAAUACUCGUUUGUUAUUGUUAUCUAUAAAUUACAAAACUCCAUCUUGAAUAUUAUAUUGAAUAUUAUAAAGAACACAAGAGUCGAUUAAAAAGUGGGUGGUGAAUUUCAAAGUAUGAUAUUUUACGCAACAAAAUUUAAAUUGCGUUUAUAUAUUAAUACCAAAACAUUGGAAUGUUUUACUCAACUUCGGUUCAGCUCCACCUAGUACAUAUCGUACAUAUAUAUGUAUAUACACAUAUAUAGCAGUUUUAUGUUUUGUCGAUAAAGUUUCCUCGUUUAAAAUUCCUCUUUAUAUCGAAUAAACGAUACGAGACAAUCCAAUCCAUGAAUUCGUCAGAGAAAACUUGUUAAGAAUAUUCCAUUCUUUUCUUCCGAUGCUGAAUUCCAUUUACCUUUUUUUUUUAAAAAGAUAAUAGAAUUUUUAAUGAACUAAAUUACACAUACCGUCAACGAGAUUUCUCACAUAGAAAUAAAGGAGGACGUUCUUUUUAUAUUUGAGAACAUUAUGUCAUAAAGUAUAGUGGAAAAAUUUGGAAAUUGAAUGGAAAAUUUUCUUCGUUGUCUUCGUUUGUCUUUUGUAAUCGGGUAUAAUGAACAUUCUUAUUAUAUAUUUAGAUACCAAAAGGACUGAGAAUGGAUAUAGCUUCUUUCCGAAGUGAGCACUAAAACAUAAUAAUCUACGCAUUAAUUUGGAUCAUUCUAAAUUUAAUUGAUCGGUAACGUUGAUUAUGUUAACUAUCAAUUUUCAAGUGGAUCCAACCUACGAUAUUUUAUUCCAAAAUAUGUAUAAAGCAUGCAUUAUCACGGACGGCGCCGAGUAUAAUUCCUUGGCCGAUUUCGUGACAAUGAGUAAACGAGGAGCAAACCUGGGUUGGAGAAGUGGGAAGUCAGCGGAGUCUUUCGACAAUUUUCAACGGGUUCGGGGCGAAUAUAAAGGGGAAAUUGAGCUUUUGGGACGAAACGAGGGUCUAAGGCGAACAGGAAACCAUUAGUUCGCAGGAAAAAGGGCGAAAUUAUUGAUGCCAAAUGGUGCCACUUGGCCAGACAUGCGAAUAAUACCGUUCCUCCGAUCACGCCUUUAUACAUAUACGCAAACUGCGUUUCGUUCCAACCAGGGACCAUAAUUGUUACAACCAAAAUUAAGAAAGAACGUCGUGCAGAAUGGUGUACGUCUUCAAAUGUCAUAACCUUCUUCUCUACGACUUGUACGAGGUAAGCUGUUGCCCACGUAUCGUUAGAUUUGAGGAUCCCUGUGCACCCCGUUGCUUAAGUUGACCUAAUUUCGUUCGUGUAAGGAGGUUUGCUCGCAUACAGGGAUCUUUCGACCGAUUUUUAAUAGUCAAUAACUAAAAUACAAAGCCGAAAAUGCAAUUUCUUUAUUCUUGAUUUUCGUCUUAUUUCGACUUCAAGAAUCACUCCUUAAAUUUUCAAACACCUGUAUUCGAACACUCUGUUUAUUUAUUGUAUUUAUUACAGUAUUUGCACUCUAAUUAAUUAGGUCUUAGGAAUAUUAAAUCUCGUAUUAUAAAUAGAACAGUUUGAUACUACAAAAAUGAAAUAUAAAAUAUGUAUGCCAAUACUUUUUGGACUGACUGUACUGCUGAUGGUAUAAAUUUUUCUUUAUCUUUUACAUUUUGAUAGUAAAAGAUUUUCUUUUUUUUGUACUACUUUCAACCGUCGUCAAUUUCUGUUAACAUUACUGAUAAUAAAUAAUAUCUAGGAAAUACACUAAAAUUGAAUUCCUACGGUCGAAGUGCAAUUAUAAUGACCAUAUCAAUUACCAGUAGUGUUAAUAAAAAUUGACAAUGAUGGAAAGUAAUAAGAAAAUGUUUUCGCCUGUAACUAGGAAAUAUUGACAACUACCAAAUAUUUUUACCACUGAUAAUGGUUGUUGGUAACCAAAAAGAAAUAUCCCAUAAUAUGAUCAUCAGUACAAACAAAGAAAUGUUAAUCAUUCGUAAUAAUUAUUCGUGUAACCAGAACACUCAAAAAUUAAUAUUUUUGAUUCAUCUAAAUUUUUGCUUUCAAUUGAAAUAAUAAUUACGUUUGUUUCAAUAAUUUUCUCGUAAAAACGAAAGAAAAAAUAUGUUAUUUUUUACCUCUGGCUUGAAUACGUUUCUCGCCACUUUCUCGUUAAUCGCAACGUUAAAUACACGCGUCGCGCGAGCAUUACGUUUCGCGGCUUCGUUAACUUUGUGGGAAAGGAAACGCGACUGGAAAGUACAGGGAAAAGGAAGAAACGGAAGUUUUGGCUAACGAUCGCGUGGUUGCAAUUAUUUUUGCGUUUGAAUCUUUCCCAAGUCUUGAAAACAGGAAAAGAGCAACAUUUUUAUAAAAAGUAAUUUCGAGAUCAAAGUUUGAUUCCGCCACGUGUAUGCAAGUAAAACAGAGGUAAAUUAUACUUGUUGAAAAAUGAUUUUCUAGGAAUUAUUUCAUUUGUGCCUGUCUUUC